AAUAUAAUGAUUAUUGAGCCAUUGAGCCCACACUCCAAGGGCGUGUUUGGUUCGAAGUCGAAGUCGGAAUCGGAAUCGGAAUCAAAAUAAGCUGGAAUCGGAAUCGAAAUGACUCAUUACCUAAUUCUGUUUGGUUCAUCACCUGAAUCGGAAUCAGAAUAAAUCAUUCCUAUUAUCAGUGUUUGGUUCAGGUGGAUAUAAAAAACGUAAUCAAAUUAAUAUACUAACAUUAUCUUUAUAAUAUAUUAAUUUAAAUUCAAAUUAAAAAUUAAAUAUUAAAAAUUUACAUCAAAAUUUUGAAAUAAUGUCAAAAUUUUAAAUCUAUUUUUUUAAAAAAAAUAAACUUUGAAGUUGAGUGGAUAAUUCAAAAUAUGAAACUAAAUUUUAAUUUAUUCAAAUUCAAACUUAAAAUUACAAUUUAAAUUUUAAUUUGAAUCCAUAAAUUUAAUUUAAGUUUGAAAUAAAAUUUGAAUAAAACUUUAUAUAAAUUAAAAUUUAAUUUAAAUUCAAAUUCAUACGUUAGAUUCGAAAUACUUGAUUAAAUUUUAAUUUUUAAUUUAGGUUUAAAUUAAAAUUUAAAAUUAUAUAUUUAAUUUUUUAAUUUUAACUCAUAUUUUAAUUAAAAAAAUUAAAAAAAUAAAUUUAAUUCGAAUAAAUAUCCAUUCCGUCUGGAUUCAACUUUCAAUCCGGCCGGAUUGAAAAAGAGGUGAUUGGGGGAUUCCCAUUCUACUCGGGAAUCGGAAUCGGAAUGGGACUCCCGCGUACCAAACACCCACAAACGGAUUUACCCAUUCCGAUUCCGAUUCCAGGGUGAAAAAAAAGCGAACCAAACACGCCCCAAGAGUCUACCAUAGUAGAUUGGUGUUGGAGAAAAG
rnacentral:lncRNA from 1 species